UACGAAGGGGGGCUAGCGUUGCUCGGAAUCACUGGGCGUAAAGCGCACGUAGGCGGCUUCUUAAGUCAGGGGUGAAAUCCUGGAGCUCAACUCCAGAACUGCCUUUGAUACUGAGGAGCUUGAGUCCGGGAGAGGUGAGUGGAACUGCGAGUGUAGAGGUGAAAUUCGUAGAUAUUCGCAAGAACACCAGUGGCGAAGGCGCUCACUGGCCCGAUACUGACGCUGAGGCACGAAAGCUAGGGGAGCAACAGG
rnacentral:rRNA from 1 species